rnacentral:snoRNA from 13 species
CUUGCACCUCAACCCAAGAACCGCCACUUCCCGUAGUGACGGUUUAAACAGGGGUGCACAUAGUAAGUGGAUCUCGUCGCCUUUGGAGGGCUGUGGCUGUGCCCACCAAAGUGAAUUUGGAGGUUCCACACCC